GUAGGCGGAUUAGAUAGUCAAAGGUGAAAGCCUGCAGCUUAACUGUAGAAGUGCCUUUGAUACUGCUAAUCUUGAGUACAGUUGAGGCGAGUGGAAUGUGUAGUGUAGCGGUGAAAUGCAUAGAUACUACACAGAACACCAAUUGCGAAGGCAGCUCGCUAAGCUGUUACUGACGCUCAGGCACGAAAGCGUGGGGAGCGAACAGGAUUAGAUACCCUGGUAGUCCACGCUGUAAACUAUGAUCACUAGCUGUUGGCGAUAAAUUGUCAGUGGCUCAGCGAAAGCGUUAAGUGAUCCACCUGGGGAGUACGAUCGCAAGGUUGAAACUCAAAGGAAUUGACGGGGGCCCGCACAAGCGGUGGAACAUGUGGUUUAAUUCGAUGAUACGCGAGGAACCUUACCUGGGCUUAAAUGUAGAGCGACGUCUCGAGAAAUCGGGAUUCCCUUCGGGGCGAACUACAAGGUGCUGCAUGGUUGUCGUCAGCUCGUGCCGUGAGGUAUCGGGUUAAGUCCCAUAACGAGCGCAACCCUUAUUGUUAGUUGCCAGCGGAUAAUGCCGGGGACUCUAACAAAACUGCCCGUGUAAACGGGAGGAAGGUGGGGAUGACGUCAAAUCAGCACGGCCCUUAUGUCCAGGGCUACACACGUGUUACAAUGGCUGGAACAAAGGGCAGCUACCACGCAAGUGGAUGCUAAUCUCUAAAUCCAGUCCCAGUUCGGAUCGAAGUCUGCAAUUCGACUUCGUGAAGAUGGAAUCGCUA
rnacentral:rRNA from 1 species